rnacentral:rRNA from 1 species
GAUGAACGCUGGCGGCGUGCCUAAUACAUGCAAGUCGAGCGAACGGACGAGAAGCUUGCUUUUCUGAUGUUAGCGGCGGACGGGUGAGUAACACGUGGAUAACCUACCUAUAAGACUGGGAUAACUUCGGGAAACCGGAGCUAAUACCGGAUAAUAUUUUGAACCGCAUGGUUCAAAAGUGAAAGACGGUCUUGCUGUCACUUAUAGAUGGAUCCGCGCUGCAUUAGCUAGUUGGUAAGGUAACGGCUUACCAAGGCAACGAUGCAUAGCCGACCUGAGAGGGUGAUCGGCCACACUGGAACUGAGACACGGUCCAGACUCCUACGGGAGGCAGCAGUAGGGAAUCUUCCGCAAUGGGCGAAAGCCUGACGGAGCAACGCCGCGUGAGUGAUGAAGGUCUUCGGAUCGUAAAACUCUGUUAUUAGGGAAGAACAUAUGUGUAAGUAACUGUGCACAUCUUGACGGUACCUAAUCAGAAAGCCACGGCUAACUACAU